rnacentral:rRNA from 1 species
GACGAACGCUGGCGGCGUGCCUAAUACAUGCAAGUUGAGCGCUGAAGGUUGGUACUUGUACCGACUGGAUGAGCAGCGAACGGGUGAGUAAAGCGUGGGGAAUCUGCCUUUGAGCGGGGGACAACAUUUGGAAACGAAUGCUAAUACCGCAUAAAAACUUUAAACACAAGUUUUAAGUUUGAAAGAUGCAAUUGCAUCACUCAAAGAUGAUCCCGCGUUGUAUUAGCUAGUUGGUGAGGUAAAGGCUAACCAAGGCGAUGAUACAUAGCCGACCUGAGAGGGUGAGCGGCCACAUUGGGACUGAGACACGGCCCAAACUCCUACGGGAGGCAGCAGUAGGGAAUCUUCAGCAAUGGACGAAAGUCUGACCGAGCAACGCCGCGUGAGUGAAGAAGGUUUUCGGAUCGUAAAACUCUGUUGGUAGAGAAGAAAGUUGGUGAGAGUGGAAAGCUCAUCAAGUGACGGUAACUACCCAGAAAGGGACGGCUAACUACGUG